CCUUACCAGCUCUUGACAUUCGGGGUAUGGGCAUUGGAGACGAUGUCCUUCAGUUAGGCUGGCCCCAGAACAGGUGCUGCAUGGCUGUCGUCAGCUCGUGUCGUGAGAUGUUGGGUUAAGUCCCGCAACGAGCGCAACCCUCGCCCUUAGUUGCCAGCAUUGAGUUGGGCACUCUAAGGGGACUGCCGGUGAUAAGCCGAGAGGAAGGUGGGGAUGACGUCAAGUCCUCAUGGCCCUUACGGGCUGGGCUACACACGUGCUACAAUGGUGGUGACAGUGGGCAGCGAGACAGCGAUGUCGAGCUAAUCUCCCCACGGCCAUCUCAGUUCGGAUUGCACUCUGCAACUCGAGUGCAUGAAGUUGGAAUCGCUAGUAAUCGCAGAU
rnacentral:rRNA from 1 species